AUAAUAAUAUUGCUGUCCAAAGACAGCAGGUGCAGUUUACAAAAAACACUGCUUAAAGUUUAUUCGCCUGCCGAGGAACGAGCAUGAAUUAUAUUGUGUAAUUUUGUGCCUUUCUCUCGGUUUUUGGAGAAAGGCUUUUUUGUUAUU
rnacentral:sRNA from 1 species